rnacentral:lncRNA from 1 species
AAACAAAAAGCAGUGUGGUGACAAUAGGUCACAAUAGGCAGCAGAGGGGUAGUUUAGGUGGGGCUCCAGAGAGAAGUUUCAUAUUUCAGAUGAGGUUGAGAAUGGAAAAGCGGAUUACUGCUGAGCCCCUCAUCUCUGAGCCCUGAUCACUUGAGCUGGCAUCAAGGGCUGUGUGACCGGCAAGUAGCACCCCCAUUCUUUCCUAGGUGUCCCCUGGGUUGCUCUGGGGCAAACAGUGGGCCAAUACAGGAACUCAGCUCACCCACAGUGCUAGAGGGACUUGGGAAUGUGGAGCAGCUUGUGAGAUGUGGUCUGGGAAGUGUGGAGGAGCUACAAAGUGCCAUCUUGAUAAAAGAGUUCAUAACAAAGAAGUAUAUGCACAAAGGAUGAUAGAUAAUGUGAAUAAGAUGUCACUUUACUCACAGUUGAGCCAAGCCUCGAUGAUUCCAGUGCAAGUCUACUAACAAGGUGAAACCCACACCUAAGAGCCUACCAUGUGAACACAGGAAACAGUAGCAGAGCUUUUCGCAUGGACUUGUCCUUUAGCCCAUGGGAAUUCUGAUCCAGGUAAAGCACAGAACAUCCACAAUCUCCUAGUCUUACCAACCUAAAAACCAUGUGGUCUACUUUGGAGAGGAGGAGGAGGACUGGGCGUGGGGGUCAGGUGUGGAGAAAACUAUGGAAAUAUUAGCUCCCCAUGGACAGAGAUAGGAAGGAAAAAGAAGGAACUAAAAGUUCCAGGACAGGGAAUCCCAAGUACAUAACUAGACAGAGAGUCUAAUACUCUAUGUGAUCUUCAUUUUACAGAAGAAACUCAGUUACAGAGGUGUGACUUUGCCCUAAGCUCUACCACAAGUGUAAAAGUACAUGAGUUAUCUCUGACUACCACCUGACUCUCACCUCCCUUCACUGCUCCGUGCUACUUCUCUCUCCUAAGCUCCCCAUGCUGCCACCAAAUCUGACUGCUUUUCAGGCCCUUAAACACUUUCUGUACUUUUCUGUCUCUGGAUCUUUGAUGAUUUUCUUCCCUUCUCAUCUGUGUCAUAAUCUUAUGUAUCCUGCAAGAUGUAACAGAGAUACAACUUUUUUCUUUCUUUCUUUAUUAUUAUUUUUUUGGUACUGGG